CAACUACUCCCUCUGUCCCAAAUUUCUUGUCUUAGAUUUGUCUAGAUACGUAUGUAUCUAAUACUAAAAUGUGACUUGAUACAUCCAUAUCUAGACAAAUCUAAGACAAGAAUUUUGGGACGAAGGGAGUACUUU
rnacentral:pre_miRNA from 1 species